GAUGAACGCUGGCGGUAUGCUUAACACAUGCAAGUCGAACGGACUCUUCGGAGUUAGUGGCGGACGGGUGAGUAACGCGUGAGAAUCUGGCUUUGGGUUCGGGACAACCACUGGAAACGGUGGCUAAUACCGGAUGUGCCGAGAGGUAAAAGAGAAAUUGCCUGAAGAUGAGCUCGCGUCUGAUUAGCUAGUUGGUGAGGUAAAGGCUCACCAAGGCAGCGAUCAGUAGCUGGUCUGAGAGGAUGACCAGCCACACUGGGACUGAGACACGGCCCAGACUACUACGGGAGGCAGCAGUGGGGAAUUUUCCGCAAUGGGCGCAAGCCUGAAGGAGCAAUACCGCGUGAGGGAAGAAGGCUCUUGGGUUGUAAACCUCUUUUCUUAGGGAAGAACAAAAUGACGGUACCUAAGGAAUCAGCACCGGCUAACUCCGUG
rnacentral:rRNA from 1 species